rnacentral:rRNA from 1 species
UGAUGCCUACGGGGGGCAGCAGUGAGGAAUAUUGGUCAAUGGGCGGGAGCCUGAACCAGCCAAGUCGCGUGAGGGAAGACGGUCCUAUGGAUUGUAACCCUCUUUAGGCGGGGAGCAAUGACGGGCACGCGUGCCCGGAGGGAGAGUACCCGCAGAAUAAGCAUCGGCUAACUCCGUGCCAGCAGCCGCGGUAAUACGGAGGAUGCGAGCGUUAUCCGGAUUUAUUGGGUUUAAAGGGUGCGUUGGCGGAUUUUUAAGUCAGCGGUAAAAUGUCUGGGCUCAACCCGGGCCGGCCGUUGAAACUC